ACGAACGUUGGCGGCGUGCUUAAUCCCUGCAAGUCAACUGAAGCAGUGGUAGCAAUAUCGCUGUGGAGGUGGCGCACGGGUGAGUAACACGUAGGUAAUCUGCCUUCAGGUCUGGCAUAACUCCGGGAAACCGGGGCUAAUAGCAGAUGAUGCAGCGGCUCGACAUCGAGACAGUUGUUAAAGCUAUGGCGCCUGAAGAUGAGCCUGCGUCUGAUUAGCUAGUUGGCGGGGUAACGGCCCACCAAGGCAACGAUCAGUAGCUGGUCUGAGAGGAUGAUCAGCCACACUGGAACUGAGACACGGUCCAGACUCCUACGGGAGGCAGCAGUAAGGAAUAUUGCUCAAUGGGAGAAAUCCUGAAGCAGCAACGCCGCGUGAGGGACGAAGGGCUUUGGCUUGUAAACCUCUGUAGUGAGAGAAAAAAAUCCCAAUCUUUGGGACAUGAUGGUAUCUCAAAAGUAAGCCCCGGCUAACUACGUG
rnacentral:rRNA from 1 species